AACAAGUACUGUGAAGGAAAGAUGGAAAGAACUUUGAAAAGAGAGUGAAAAAGGGCUUGAAAUUGUUAAGAGGAGAAGUGAUUGGAGCAUAUCAUACCUUCUAGGGUUAAUGGUUGGGAUUUAUCCUGGCAAUGUAUUCCUGGUUGGUUGGUCAGCAUCGGUUUGGGCUUGGGGAGACUACUUUUAUCGUGAAACCUAGUGAUCGGUAGAUGUGAAACCCGGGGCGAGACCGAGGCACAAAGAGCGCGCAUAGCGACCGGCUUGAGCCCUUCUGCAUUGCAGUCCAACACUCUUCGGAGUGUUGUCUGUACUGUGGUUGAUGCGAAGAGUGCAGGAUCUGCGUUCUGAAGAUGCUGGCACAAAUGGCUUCAAUCAGCCCGUCUGGAAACACGGACCAAGGAGUCUA
rnacentral:rRNA from 1 species